UUUAACACAAUNAAGGGNGAGUGGNGAAAUCUGGUGAGUAAAACCACGUGGGAAUUUAUCUGCCCNGAAGCAGGGGNUAACAUUCUUGGGAAAACGGGNGGUGNUAAUACCGUUAAUAANAACAAAAUCCCCGCGAUGGUNUUUUNUUUNAAAGGGNGGUNUUCGGCUAUACACUUCUGGNUGAUUUCCCCGCGGNGUUNUUAGUUAGUUGGGUGNGGAUAAAGGCCCCCNCCAAAGGACNAUGAUACGUGAGCCGACCUGAGAAGGGUUAAUCGGCCCACAUUGGGGACUGAGACACCGGGCCCCAAAUUUCUCCUACGGGNGGCAGCAGUAGGGAUAUNUUCCACAAUUGGACGAAAGUCUNNUGGGAGCAAAUGCCGCGUGAAGUGAAGAAAGGGUUUUGCGGCUCGUAAAANUCUGGUUGUUAAAGAAGAACACCCUUUGAGAGUAACUGUUCCAAGGGGUUGACGGUAUUUAACCNGAAAAGCCACGGCUAACUACGUGCCAGGCAGCCGCGGUAAUACGUAGGUGGCCAAGCGUUNUCCGGAUUUAUUGGGCGUAAAGCGAGCGCCAGGCGGUUUUUUAAGUCUGAUGUGAAAGCCUUUCGGCUUAACCGGAGAAGUGCAUCGGAAACUGGGAGACUUGAGUGCAGAAGAGGACAGUGGAACUCCAUGUGUAGCGGUGGAAUGCGUAGAUAUAUGGAAGAACACCAGUGGCGAAGGCGGCUGUCUAGUCUGUAACUGACGNUGAGGCUCGAAAGCAUGGGUAGCGAACAGGAUUAGAUACCCUGGUAGUCCAUGCCGUAAACGAUGAGUGCUAAGUGUUGGAGGGUUUCCGCCCUUCAGUGCUGCAGCUAACGCAUUAAGCACUCCGCCUGGGGAGUACGACCGCAAGGUUGAAACUCAAAGGAAUUGACGGGGGCCCGCACAAGCGGUGGAGCAUGUGGUUUAAUUCGAAGCUACGCGAAGAACCUUACCAGGUCUUGACAUCUUCUGCCAAUCUUAGAGAUAAGACGUUCCCUUCGGGGACAGAAUGACAGGUGGUGCANGGUUGUCGUCAGCUCGUGUCNUGANAUGUUGGGUUAAGUCCCGCAACGAGCGCAACCCUUAUUAUCANUUGCCAGCAUUCAGUUGGGCACUCUGGUGAGACUGCCGGUGACAAACCGGANGAANGUGGGGAUGAACGUCAAAUCAUCAUGCCCCUUAUGACCUGGGCUACACACGUGCUACAAUGGACGGUACAACGAGUCGCGAAGUCGUGAGGCUAAGCUAAUCUCUUAAAGCCGUUCUCAGUUCGGAUUGUAGGCUGCAACUCGCCUACAUGAAGUUGGAAUCGCUAGUAAUCGCGGAUCAGCAUGCCGCGGUGAAUACGUUCCCGGGCCUUGUACACACCGCCCGUCACACCAUGAGAGUUU
rnacentral:rRNA from 1 species